UCCCAUAAACCGUGGCUCAGUUCACAUCGUAGGCUGCAACUCGCCUACGUGAAGGAGGAAGCGCUAGUAAUCGCAGGUCAGCAUACUGCGGUGAAUACUUUCCCGGGCCUUGUACACACCGCCCGUCACACCAUGGAAGUUGGCCACGCCCGAAGCCGUUACUCCAACCCUUGUGGAGGAGGACGUCGAAGGUGGGGCUGAUGACUGGGGUGAAGUCGUAACAAGGUAUCCGUACCGGAAGGUGCGGAUGGAUCACCUCCUAA
rnacentral:rRNA from 1 species